rnacentral:lncRNA from 1 species
UGUUUUUUUUAAUGAAACAAAUGAGGAAAAUGUUUCCUUGAGAUUUCAAGAUUGGACUUCCAAAGAAAUCUAGGACUGAAAAACCAAAGCUCUGCUUCCAGCAGGGUUGGGCUUCUAAACAGAGUGGUCCGGUCACACUGCUUUGUACUUUUGAAAGUCCAGUGCUAAUUUUAAAUGCCUAAGAAGGAGCUGUUAGAUACUGAGCUUUUUGGAGUGACUCCUCUGAAACAACGAAGGGACCAUUUCUCUUAGCUUGCCUUUGGGAUAUUUUAAAUGCCUUUUUGGCUUCCUUACUACUUUUAAACGUUCCUAACUUCUGUAAUAAAACCUACUGCUAUAUCAUACUUGUCACUACUGGCCACAAUCUGAUACAAAGCAUGCAACUAUCUGGGGAACUAUCAAAUGCAGGGGAGGGGAGAAGAAGCUAUCAAUAUUUUUUUUUUUUUUUUUGGUAAGAGACGGUAACAGUAUUGCUGACUUCCAGCACUCAUGAGUCAGACUCACAGAAAGCUCCGAAACUGGAAUGUAUAUUUUAUUUCAAUUCAUUUGUCUGCUUACUCUUGGGGUUUGUAAGGCUCGUAUGUUUCAGCUUUUUCCACAGCCAGGUGGUCUCAAGUGCACCACAAAUGAACAGUUACUGGAUAUUGCCUUAUAGUAGAAUGUUGCAUAUUAACUAUUCAUGAGCCUUUUUCCCACUCACACCUAUCAGUAUUUUGAAUUCCUUAAUUCAUAUCUAUGCACUGUGGAUAAGUUUAAGUAAUGCUGAUAUUCUCUCUGUGAACACUGAUUGAAUGUCAGUGUCCUGUUGCAUUUACUGUUAGCGGAAAUGGAAAGGAUGGAUGAAAAACAGAGGUCAAAAAAUACUGCAAAUUCAGUACCUGUUCUUUUUGCAGUUAAUCCUGGACAUAGCAAUAGGAAAUUUUAGUAAAAUUUCCAAACUGCCCAUGAAUUCCAAACAACAUAUGAACUCAGGGAAAGUUUAAAACAAAAUUGAGACUUUAUAACCUUAGCGGCUAUAUGUGACCUGGAAGAUUUUAACACAGAUUGCUUCUCACAUUCAUUUAUCAUCAUUCCAGGAAAUUCAUCAUGACAUAGAUUUUGUCACAACUAAUCCUUCCAAAAGCAGAAGUGUGCAUGAUAUGAUCCAGCUUAAGAGAUAAUCAGAAACAAGAGAGGAAACAAACACUUUUGUUUUUAUUUGAUGAGACCACUACAAAAACAGAGAGAACUUUUUCAGAAGACUGAGGGAGAAGACAGUUUUAUAACCUUGUUCACUGUUUUGUUUUCUCUGUGGCAGUUAAUAGAGAGAGGAACAUUUUCAGAUGAAUCAACAAAGUUAGAACCACUUUCAUCCUUUCUACACAAACGAUAUGUUGUAUUCCCGUCUGAUAGACCUAUGAAGGGAAAGCAGCUCAGGAUGGCCAAUGGUUUCCCUCACCAGUGCAGUCACUAAAGAGAAUCAAGAAUCAGGAAGUCAGACUACACUCUGCAAUUGCUUCUUCAAACCUUAAAAAUCAAGGAGACAUGGAGCGAAUGACUGUAUUGGGUUUGAGUCAAUGGAGAAUUACGUUCUGCUGCAUCUGGAGAGGAUAAGAAUUUGCAGGAAUCGUGGUAAAAUAUCUGUACUAAAAAAGGAAUGAGUUGUUUCAAAUAAAAAAUUUGUGUGACUUGUUGCUAAUUCCAAAGAAAGAGGAUAGAGAUUAAAUAUGAGGCACAGGCUGUAAACUAUUCAGGAUGGCUUUCAUAGCUCAAAGGGUAUAAUUAAAAGUAUGGAACAAACUGCCAAAGUCUACGAUGGAAAUGAAUAGUGUAACACCAGGUCAAAAGGGAUCUGGACUCAUUUCUGGAAGAAGAGACAAUGCACAGCUGUUAGAGUGUAUUUUAAAGGAUGAAGAUGAUCAGUUACUGCAUGAAUUGAUUGGUAUUUCCUGGGCAUGUUCUGUUAGAAUUUUAGUAUCUCCUGGACCUUCGGUCGUUGUUUGUUUCUGGCAACUGCAUCCAUACAGGAGCAAAUGUCUUCCAUUGACUUGAAAUUUAUAUUGUAGAAUAAAAUUACUGUUUUCUCCAGCAAAAAUUCCUCGGUGGAAAGGAAUUUUCAUAUUAUUGCCAUGACAUCAGUUCAUUCAGAAAAGAUAAGCAGCUAACUACAUACCCUGGAGUCUUGUAUUCUCUUAAAUCAUCAGAAUCUGGGAGCAUAAUCAACUGCGUAUACACGUCUGUGUAAUUAAUAUCCAAACAACUGCAUACACCUUUUGAGUUACACUGGCUCUACAGUCUAAAUAAUGUAAUGCACUAUGUAAAAACUCAAAAUAAGAAACAAAGUGACAGGGUUGGCAAUAGCCUGAUGGAAGGACACUGUAAACAUCCAUGAAUCCCACUUUAGUAACUUAUCCAGACAUUCCAGAGGCCAAGGCCAAAACAGACCAUCCAAGUUAGAUGGAGGCAGGCAAAGACAAAACUGAGGGGCUUUAGAGAACCUGAUGCUCACAAAUGUCUUGAAUGUCAUAGUCAACCCCUUCACAUAGUGCCACUCAGAUGUUUCAUUGCCUUGAGAGAAGAGCUUUCUGCUUCUUCAACAACUGUGAUAUCACUAUGAAGAGUCCAUUUCCACACUGCUGGCACAGAAAAAAGAGACACUCUAAAGGAGGAGUUGCUGGAGUGAGAAGAAGUUACAAGCAUCUGGAUUUACUGGACAAGGCUUGGGGAAAUUCUUGGAGAAGACUCUAUUAAGCUGAAAGGCUGAAGACUAAUGAGCACUGCCUGCUCUGUUGCAUUCCUAGAGCUUCCAUUUAUUUGAGGCUGGAAAUGGUUGCUGUAUCCUUUUAGCAACUCCUUCAUUAGAUGCAAGCAGCAGGCAUGGAGAACCUUGUGAAGCUGGAUUCACCCACUUUUUACACUCUCCGUAAUACAGAAUAGUGACCCCCUUUUAUGGUACAAAAGAGAGGAGGCAAGUAUGAAGGACUUUUCUGGAUCCUGUACAGGCUACCUAACACACUGACUGCAGUCCAGCAUGAAAUCUGCUUAGAUCAGAGCAGAGACAUAACGGAUGCCCAAGGCUUUGUUUGCCCUAGCCAAAACUAUGGUUCCCGUGCAAAGAGACAACAGCUAUUUCUGACAUAGCUCCAAAUUUGCAGGGCCCUGAGAAUAGAAAAGUAGCAUGUGGAGGCAAAUCCUGUGGUUAAUCCCGCCAUUGUACAACAUCUCUUUAGUCCGAGGAGUUUGUAAAACUUAGGUCAUAUCAGUAUCUUACCUAUAUAUGGAAAAGGACCACGGAUAACCACUUUAAUUUGUAGGCUUUUUGCAGCAUAGUCUGAGUCACCCUCAUUAGAUGGAGGAGCAACAGAAAUAGAAAUUCUCACUGAAAUAGACCUAGAGAAGUCAUCAUAGCCCCAGUCUUCACUCCCUCCCAAGUUUUUCUAGGCACUGCAUAAAUACAGCAGGAGCUUGUCCAUACCUCAAAGGGGUUUUAAUCUAAAUAUUGCCAGAAAUUUAAUAGCAGUUCAAACGUUUCAAGGUUUUCCAGCUUUGCAUACCACAUGCAUUACUACUGGUACAGAUCUGUUUAAAGCAACUUGAAUUGUGCAGGUGAACAGGCCUGCAGGGCUGGGUAGCAUCUGCAGCCACUGAGUGCUUUUGGGGAUUGAUUUUUAAGGGACUUCCUGAUGUGUAUGGACUGCUUUCAUUCUAUUUGUAACAUCUUCCUACCAGUGCUUUGAAUAUACUAUUCCAGUUGAGUUUAGGAAGAAGUCCCUUCCAACGGGAAAGGAACACAAGUUACAAGCUUAGUUGUUAAUUAGCAGUUGGGUGGCUGAUUGGUCACUUUUACUGUUGAGCUCACCUACACCAGCUAUUAGUUACCACUCUUGGAUUGAAAUCAGUCUGUCUUCCUUCCCUGUGCCCCACUUCAGGGCACAGGAAUAAAGACCUGUAAUCAUUAUACCAAAAAGAUAUAAUUCUUCUUGAUUUUCAUUAGUCAUUUCUCAUUUCUACAGUAUUUGGUGAAUUAGCUAUUGUAUUUCAGAACUGAUCCCUCAUCAUACAGGUGAGAUCUAGAUUUCCCUGGCAAACUUCCUGCUAGUGCAUAUAGGGCUGGGAUCAGUUUCUCUUUAAGGGAUUCAGAUAUAUAUGUAUAUAUUUUCUUAUAUUAUUUUUGUACUGUACUCCCUGUUCAUAUUAUGGCACAUCCUAAUAGAAAAAAAAAAAUGUACUGGUAAAAAUCUUUCAAUAAGCUUUGGAGCUCUCUUCAUGAUACUGUUUCUUCUUCAGAGGAAAGUAUUCAGUCAAAGUUGUGCAAGUCUCUCUUCUGCACUGAAUUUGCCAAAAAAAAAAAAAAAAAAUAGCAAGAGCGGAAAACCUAUAAAAGAGACACUGAAGUACUGCACACAGAUUGAAUGUUUCACUGGUCUUGCUUCCAGUUCUGCUCCAAGCACUUUGGCACAUCCUAAAUCUUAAACACCUGGCCCACUGCCUUUCCUGAAGAGAGAUGUUUCUGUGUGUCAGGCGUCCAGUUUUAAAAAUAUGUUUGUGUUAGCACCAGAUGUUUUUGGUGGUUUGUUGAUCAUGCAAAGGAAAAGAUCCUACCAAGUCUUCUAAUACUUUUGAAAACCUUACAGUGAGAGAUUUCUUCAGAUUUGGAUAAUGCUCCUAAAGGGCCAAAGGGGACAUCAGUAUCAUUUUUUGAAGCUGAUAUUACCUGAUAAUAGAACUUCACUUACAAAGACUGCUACAUGGAUUAAUCCUAGCUUGGAUUUGCUUUUAGUACUCUAAUAUUACUCUGGAUUUUUGAGUUUGUUAUUCCUUUAAGGCAGAAUUUUAUACAUAUUUUUUAUUUUAGACAUAUAUUUUAUACAUGUAUAUAUAUACUUUUUUACAAAUCUUCCUUGGCUAUUUUUUCUCAUAGUGUUAGUGUAUGCACAUUGUAGUCUAAUGCACAGAUAAAUGGACUAGGUCUGGAAAAGCUGUUCUGGGACCACAGUCCAACUGGAUAAGACAUUGAGACUACAAGAGCCACAAGAAUUCUCUCAUCUACAUUUGUUUCUGAAAGAAUAGUGAAACCCACCUUUAAAUUUACUGAAGUAUCUUCACUUGUCCAUUUCAACCAUAAUAACAGUUCCUACAUUCUUAUAUGGGAUUUCCUGGCUGAAAAGCCAUGAGCAGAAGAACCCAACUCUCCCAGAAGAAGUCUGAUCUACACACACAUUGCAUAUAUGCAUUAAAUGUUGUCCUUUCAAAGUAUACUGGACUUUCAGCUUAAGGGCAAAUGAGAGGCAUGAUUUGAUGAGUGCCAUCAAACUGAUACUGCCAUGAGCUGCUGGAGUCACACACAGGACUAGUGCAGCUGAUCAGCUUGUGUGCUAAGAGGCCCCAGGCUGUGGUGCGUAAAGCAGUUAGGUAUGAUGGAACACAGAUAUGCUUUCAUUAGCUUGCUAGAGGCCUAGGAUCCUCAAGUGUAAAAAUUCCCUUAUACGUACGUAUUUUUCCUAGACAACAUUUCUGAGUGGCAAAAUAGUUUUCAGAGGAAGUCCAGGCACAAGAAGACUUGGUCACUGCAAGGCCUAGAGACCGUUUACUGGGCUGAAGACUUCAGGGAACUCUGGUGCUGUGCCUCUUCACCUCCCCCUUGCCUGUUUCCAGUGCAUAAAGUCCAUUGAAGCUCACAGUAGCUUUCUGUUUGUUCAUUUGUGGUGGGUAUUAGGCUGAUCACCCUCAGCAUAGGAGUUUGUCCAUUAGUCAGGAGCACAGGAAGAUUGCAGAGGAAGAGAGGAGAUAAUGCACAUUGCUCUUUUUCUAUGCUUCUUCCAUAUUAUUGCUGACAGAUUUGACCUGUGACAAAUCCUUGAAAUAUGGUUGUGCAGACAGAGAUGGGACAGAUCCAAGGAUAAAAAGCCUGUGCUUGGAAAACGCUGUGCUGUGACAGAUUGCAUGAGCUCAUAUGUAUCUCUCUGCCAUUGCAUGUUUGCUCUUGCUUACUUAGAGAAAAGCAGCCACAGAUCUGCAGAGGAUGAUGGCUGUACAGGGUGCAAUAUCUUAUCCUCAAACCUAUGGAGCAGGAAAACAUGCAUCAGUCCAGAGACUGAGGCUCUCCUAACAAUAUGGAUCAUUUGAGUCUGAUAGCUUGUGCCAGAAGUGCAUUUUUUCUUUUGUGAAAGAUGAAAUCCUGACAUUCCUGGCUAGCCCAAUAUAAAUAUGGCCACCCAAGUACUGUGGCAUUAUUUGAGUUCAUCUGCUGAAUAGCUGCUAUGUGGUUUCUUUGGCAGCUCAGUGAUUCCCUCAGCUAACAGAAAACUGUGGCUCCUCCCUCAGUGGCAGCUGCUGCCUGAGGGCUGGCCUUACAAUCAAACCCAAACACACCAUGACCCCAUGGAGGCCCCAUCGGUCUGCUUGUCCCUGGCACUUGAGGCUGAGCAUUUGCAUGGGCCUGGCCUAGGAGCCGGUUCUGCUCCGUGGCUGUGAAGCCGUAACCAGGUCCAACCUGGGAAUCAGUUUCCCUGGCCUCUCCCUUAAAACACAAACAAUUUCUCACCACUGUAGCCAGAGGAAGAGAGAGCACAUUUGUAUUUUACACUUGCACUUGGCUGGAUGUUGCUUGUGCUAGUUUUCUGAACACUGUACUGGGCAUGCUAGUAGUGCAGGACAAAGUUCACUUCAUGUGAUGCAAAGAGGAUUGGGGAAAGAUGACCUCGAGAUCGGUACUGAGGUUCCCCCCUGGGAAUUUUGUUUAAUUUUUUAAUAUUUUUAUUUUUUAAUAUUAUUUUUUUAAUGAAAAUAAUUUGAUCUCCUCAGGUCAUCUUGUAAGCUCCAAGGAGAAACCCUCACUUUCCUGGGAUGACGGAGAGAAGGAAUCACAGUUCCACCACAGCAAAUAAGUGUCAUCACUUUCCUUUCAGAUCCAAGGAAGUAUUUGGGUUUUUUUUUAAAGAAGCAAAAGAAGAACCCUCUUCUCUAGCAAGCAACAACAAAGUAAAAUACUGGCACCUUUCUUUGAGCUGAAAAGAAAAACAUUGUCAGAAAUGCUGUGGGGCUGUGUGCUGGGUGUUCAUGGUCCUCAGCUGUGUCUGAGAUGACAGCUCAGGAGCUUUUAGUCCUUCUCAGGAACUUUUUAGUCUCCUCAGCCAUAACAUAGGAGUCAAAUAUAAGCUCACACUGUUUUUUAUGGUUAGUGGAUUGCACUACUGCACUGACAAAACCCAUGCUUUUAUAUACCUUAAACCCUUGUAGACACAGGAGAUUUAAAGAAAGGACAGUCUAAAUAAAUAAAUAAAUACUGCUAUCCCUAGCAGAGAUCUCAGCACUGCAGCACUCCAUUCACUUGCAAAUAGAGUUUAUGAUCCUGAGUCCCCUGGGCAGGAAUGAAUUCUGCUCCUCAACCAGCACAGGUGCAGGGCAGGGGAUGGACAGUGCUGCAGGUCCCAUGGGUGGAGUGAGACACUUGCCUUUGCUCUCCAUCUCCCAUUGCUGGAGCAGGGCCAGUGUUUCCAGACUCCUGCUACCUUGCUCAGCCCAAGCCCACGGCACUUUCUGUUUGUUUAACACUGUCUGGCAGCCUUGAGAUAACGGGGAUGUUUCUGGCUGGCCUCACAGCUCCCCAGCACCAAAUGAUCUGCAGACCCAGGCUGCUUCAGACACUCCAGAUCCCCAAGUGGGCCAUAAAGCCCAACAUAAGCAGGUCAGAGCUCAACUGUAGGUUACUGCAGGAGCUCCAAGAUACUUGCUAGGCACCCAGGCACUCUGCUCAUCCCCUAGUCUUCAGCAAAGUCUCAAGAAGGGUUGGCCACAGAAAUCCCUGUGUAGGAAAUGCCUUUCAGCUCAAAACAAAUGAGAAUGAGUGCAUCAAAAAUAUCACAUGUAUACACAUGUGUAUGUAUGCGUGUAUGUAUAUUUAUGAACUUUCCCUUUCAAAGACGUGCUGAGGAUGGGAAGACUUACAGGCCCUUCAAUGGUGCAGAGCCGUCAGCAAGGCGAAAAUAGGAAAGUACAGCAGCUGCAAGUCCUCAUACAACAUCUCACUUAAAAUGUCAUGUGUGCUACUUGGUUUAAAUUGUCACCCCUCCAGCAACCACAAACAAUGCAGAAACAGCAGAUGUGUUUUCUAUUUAGAAUUAAACAGUUUAUCUCAACCACUGUCAUUGUUACAGAGGGAAAAUAAAUAAAUAUCCAUGUUAAUGUAAACUUCAAAAGGUACUUUCUGGCAUGAAUGGCUGUUCUGAAUCCAGACUUCACUGAGAAAACCAGGAUUUGUCCACAGAUUUUUUUCUUUCUUUUUUCUUUUUUUUUUUUUUUCCAAUAGGGAUGCUGGCAGCCCAGCAUGUAGUAAAACUUAGACUGGUCAAAAAGAUUUUUUGGCCAGAUAUAGCAUCCAAUAACUCAUGUCAUUUAGACUUAAUGGUCCAGAAAAUUAAAGUAAACAUCAUAAAUGUCUUUUGUUAUUAAACUUUCCAUUCAAACUUUUUGUUUAACUCUUACUUAAUGGAAAGUAAAGAUGACAUUUCAAGUCACAUAUUUACCUAUGUUGUAAUCUUGAAGUCAUCUCAUUGAGAUUUAAAAAUGUGCCACAAUUUCAGCCUAGGCAAGAACUCAGUAAGAAAAAAAAGCUGAUGUGUGCAUGUGCUCUGAAGAAGUUAAGGUGAUGAUAAAUUCAGCCCGCACAGAUUAAGGUCAAUUCAUUGUUCAAUUCUUAGUUUUACAGGUCUAUAGCUCUGUUCUUUGUAGGGGCAAACAGCAUCUCAGGCAAGAGUGACCGUAGGGAUAUUACUGGAUCUUUUUUAACUUUUUAAGAGGGGAUACUAUUCGUGAAGACUGCAACCGAGCGAUGUGGUUGGGGCAUGCCUCAGGAAAAUGCAGUCUUCCGUAUGAAAAAAGAACAAAAAACAAGAAGAGCUUCAUUUAGACAUUUUUGUCCCCCGCUUACAUUUAAAAUAGCAAAAACAAAGCCAAACUCUGUCUAGUUGUGAAGAUAUUUUGACUAAAUUAAGUUUGAUUUGUUUCAACAGCCUAAAGAAGGUUCCAAAACUGAAUAUCACUGUGUACUUCUUUGUGUGUGACAUGGCCUUCACCAAUACCUUUCUUGUGUUUGAUUUGCAGCCAGUAUUUUAAACUUCACCAGCCAGCUUGUUUCCAGAUUUUAUAUUUUUACAAAGAGUUUUUUGUCUUCAAGCAAGAAAACACAAAUGUUCCUGUUACUCCUCCUGUCUGAAAUGUGCAGAAGAAGGGUGCAUGUGAUCAGCAAUAAGCUGUAAAGCCUUAACUGCUAGUAUUACUUCAUGGGCUUGUAACACAUUCAGUUUGAUGCUUGUUCCUUCAUAACUGUCACAGUCCUGCAGCUCCACAGGGCUUCUCAAUGGUUGGCACUUUUGAAUGGCUGAGUGUAAAAAGGCCUUAUGCAACACAUUGCCCUCUGGAUUUCGUGUAGGAAAGGAAUCUUUUUGCAUUGGUUAGGGCCAGGCUAAGGAUCACUAUUAUGUUUGGCUCAGGGGCUGACUUUAUGUGUAUAACCAAGAUUCACCAGCAUAAAAUUUCAAAUAUUCUUUUCACAUCCAUUUCAGGACAAGGCCAGGCCCUGGUGUAUUGGAUGAAGAAAGAAGCCCUUCCUCUGGACAAGAUGUCUACUAGACCCAGCUGAGCAUUGUGAAAGAGUUAGUUCCUCACCUCUCUAAGCAAUUGCCUCUAAGGGUGGGAAUAUAAACUACAGUCUUGAUCACUUUAAUGUAGUGGUCAGCAUAAUUUGUUUUUUUAAGGUACAAACAUUUUAUCUUGUUGCCUGACUUCAGAAAAAGUAACAAAUGAGUAGGUAAAUGCACAGCUGUUUUUCAGGGAAUCAUAGCUCUGAUCUCAUCACUGGCAAAGGCUUGCUGCAGUAAAUCUGCAAAAGUGACUGAAAACCCCUCAGAAUCUGAGCACCAGGGCUUGACUGGGCUUUGGACAUAGAUGUUAAAUGAUUUUCUGCCAGUCUAGCCGAUGUGGUCAUCACAAUUUCUUCUGACUGUCUUGACACCUCUUCUUGCUCCUAUGACUUGAAUACAGGUCAGGAGGACUUUCCAAUAUGUGGUAUUACGCCUAAACAGCUUUUCUGGAGCAGCAGUUUUGGAUCAGCAUUCCUGGAUAAUCCCACGAGUGGACAAUAUCUACAUGUGGAAUUAAACAGAAAUAGUUGCUGUGUUUAGUUUCCUACCUGCAUUUGUGCCAAACUAAUUUUAAAGUGUAAAUGGUCCCUAAGAGAUUACAUAUGCACCCAGAGGAGGAAAUGCAUUCUGCUACUAUACGGCUGAAUUUGUACAAUUUAUGGAGCAUGUCAUAUAAAUGGAAUGGACAGAAAUCUGUUACUAAAUUGGAAUUGAAGAACAUGAUUGAGUGUAUCAGUGAAUGACUAAGGCCUUUAGACCUUAAAAUUGGUUUGAGUGUUCAUAGCUAUAAGCAUCCAUGAGAUCUCCCAGCAACUGGAUUGUAUAUUUGCAUAUAUAGCCUCUUCCUCUGAGUUAAAAUUUGGAUUUUUUUUUUUUCUGAUAUAUAUAAACAUUAUUCUGCCUCUCAGGCUUGACUUAAGUUACUGAAUAAAUUAGGAGUGAAAGACAACUGUGGAAAUUACAGCUAGAAAGGCAACUGAUUUAUUUUUUAAAUGCUUCUGCACAAUUUAAAUUUGAUUUGUGGUAAAUGAGACACUUGAGCAGAUGAAUUUGAAGGAGGCAUAACUUUCUCAGGCUUGCUUAUAUUUUCGGAUAGACUUACUGGAAAAGUUUUAGUUCAUCACUCUUCCAGGAUCUUGAAAUCUGACCAAGAAACCUUCCAAAGUAAUAUGAAGUUCAUGCUAAAACAAUGUUAUCAGAUAGGAAAAGUUAAUGCUACUGUUAUCUACAGGUCAGCUAACGUGUAAGUUCUCACAGAAGUUCUCUAGCAUAAUAGAUUUGCUUCCUUACUAUGGAAAUCAUGCUAUUGCUACUAUUAACAGAAACAAAAUCAGAUUCUGGCUCAACUAUUUCUAUUUAAUAAAGAAAAAAACCUGUUUAGAGCUACAGAAUAAGUAACAGCAUAUCAACUGUUUUGGUUCUUUUCCUCUGUGAACUAUGUCGAAAAAAAAAAAAAACCAACAAAUUAUUCGCUAAGACUAUUUUGUUUUCUUAGUUUGCUUGCUACACUGAAUUUUGCAAUUAUUAUUUAUAUGUCAUAUAGAGCUUCUCUGAAGUAUUUGAGUUGCGUUGAUAGCAUUUGUGUUUACAGAAUAAAAACACUUAUUUUUACACACAGAA